AAUUAGAAAGCGAAUAUUUGCAUUUAGUUUCGACCUAAACCUUGGCUUUAAUACCUCUAAUUU
rnacentral:tRNA from 1 species